rnacentral:rRNA from 1 species
ACGGAGCAACGCCGCGUGAGUCAUSAAGGUUUUCGGAUCGUAAAACUCUGUUGUUAGGGAAGAACAAGUAUCGUUCGAAUAGGGCGGUACCUUGACGGUACCUAACCAGAAAGCCACGGCUAACUACGUGCCAGCAGCCGCGGUAAUACGUAGGUGGCAAGCGUUGUCCGGAAUUAUUGGGCGUAAAGCGCGCGCAGGCG